rnacentral:lncRNA from 1 species
CAGACUCACAUUUCAGUGAAAAACUCGGCAGGGAGGUAUUUUGAAAUACCUCAUAAAGUUCCGAAUCGGACCUGUUAUACCCUGUUUUUGGACCUAAAAAUACUGGGCCCAAUUUCAUUUCAAACUUUGUCAAUUAUCAAAUUUCAACUGCACAGUUCAAAUUGUCUCUGCCUCGCAGUAUUUUCAAUCACAAUUUUACCUAUGUUUUUCUUGCAUAAAAUCUUUCGAAAUGUCUUUACUUGUCUUGUAAGUCAUUCAAAAGUGUCUCUGAAUCAUUACAUUGCUUUUUCUACAGUUUAUUUCAAAAUUUGCAAAAAGUCAUACAGAAGGGUAUUUUGGUCAUUUCCUGCAGUGGGACCCAUUUUCAUCCUUGUGACUGUCUCUGAGCCUUUUCAGAUUGAUUUUUAACGUUUCAUCAGUAAGCCUUGUUAAAUUCAUUUCAAACUUGCAUCUGAGUCAGUGUCAAGUCAAUUUGAAUCUGUUUAGGUCAAUUUUAGCCCUAGGGGCAUUUUGGUCAUUUCACACAAAAUUUUGGCAUAGAGAGGUUACUUUGAAGUACCUCAUUUAAGCCAUUGGUUCGUUUUAGUCCGUUUUGUCAAUUUUAUUUUUGUUUCGCUUUACGUUUUGUCAAGUUACCAAUUUUAUUUCAAUUUUAUUUUUAUUUUUGCAUUUUGGUCCUCGAAGAGGUCCAAAAUUGCAUUCCAGUCCAGUUUUCUUUCCAAUUUACAUUUCAGUCCUUUUUGGUUAAUUGCAGUUUAGUCCUUAAAGUUCUUAUUUUUGCAGAAAGGUCCAAAUUUCAUUUUUUGUCCAAAGCCGUGCCAUUUUUUUUUUCAAGUCCAGGUGUCCUUUUCUCAUUGGUUCAGAAGCACACAUGUCAAGCUAUAAAAGGUGUACAGUGUCACGCAGAGCCAUCAAUCACACGCCAACUCAUAAACACAAAUCCAAUUUUCUCUCUCUGGGCUAUUGAAUCAAAACAGAAAAUCUCUCAAAAUUUCUCAAGAACACCAAGAACAAAAACCCUAACCGUUUUCCAGAAACUCAAAAAGUUCAUCAGAAUCAAUAAUUUUUGGAUCAAUUCUCAGAGAUUCUGUGGAAUCUUCAUCAUCGAAUUGAUCAUUUCUCUGCAAUUCAAAACGCGAGCUCGCAUUGAAGCAAGCUCAAGCGUUGAUCACAGAGGGGAGAUCAGAAGAGGGAAAGAAGCAAGGUUUACACCGGCGAAGAAGAUGAAGAAGCAGAAUCAGUGAAAUCACCGGUUUAUUUUCGGUCCAGCAACCAAAUCAACAACACAGAAAACGAAGAAUCGAGUGUUUCCGAAGAAAUUCAACAGAAUCUCCAAUCAAAAACUUCAGGUAAAACUCAGAACAGAAUUUCUUUUCAAAAAAUAAUAUCAUAGCUUAAACCUGUAAAAAUCACGCAAGCAAACAGAUCUAAAAUUUCCAGAAUUCAAAGAUAAAACCGUAACCGUAAACACAAAACCUAGAUCCAUAAGGAUCUAAGUUUUGAAAGCAAGAACAAGCAUCAAAGAAGUAAUAAACGACGAAACGAUGUAGAUCUUCAAGGAUCUAAACGCUUUAUUUCAAAAAGAUCAAAAAAGAUCAAUUUCAAAACCGUACGAAAUUUUCAGAUCUACGUCGUUUCAAGCUGUGUUUGAGAAAAUAAUUGCUGGAUUCGUGUUUAGGGUUAAAGGACGAAUCAAAAGAUGUGAAAAUCUUUAAGUUCUGGAAAUUUCAGGUCACCGGAGGUGCUAGGUCUCGCCGGAGAAGAUGAAGUUUUCGGCGGACCUUCAAGGUCUCCGCCGUAGCUUCAUCCUCACCGGCGGUGAGGUUCUAGAGAGAGGUGAGAGAUGAGAGAAGAGAGAAGAGUUUAGAGAGAGAAAGGAGUGUAAAGAAUGAAAAAACCGGUGCUGAUGUACUUAUAUAGCCAGUGAACCGGACCGGUCCAGGACCGGUCCAAUCUCCUUCAUCCCUGGCCGUUGGAUCUAGGGUUUCCUACCCUGGAUCAAUCCAACGUCUCCUGUGCAAUCUGAGUUUUGUGUGUUGGGCUUUGGGUUGGGCUUAGGUUUCUUUUACGUUUUUGUUUAUUUUCCUGCUAUUUGCACCAUAUUUCUUUGCUGUUUGAACCCCUGCAUGCUUAAAUUUUCUCUAAAAAAUCUCCAAAAAUUAUCACAUGUUUCUUGAUAUAUUUUCAUGUCUUUUUUAUAUUUCUCAAUGGUUUAAAAAUGGUAAAAAAAAGCAUGUGAUAUUUCUUGGUUAAUUAGUGUGUUUAGACAUAAACUUGUGCAUUUUUUAGUAGCAUAUCCCUCAUGAAUUGUUGGCAUGUGAUUUGAACUUUUGGAAUGCAAUUUUGUGAUAAAUUUGUUGCUGAUUACAUGUUUGAUUCGCUGCUUGUAUGUCUCAAUUUCAUCUCCCUUCUUGGCUUGCAAUUAGUAUGCAUUUUUGCUAGUAAAUAAAGUGCCACAAUAUUUUGAAAGUGUGCUAUAAACUUUAGCAUCAAAUAUGUCCCAUUUUUUUUCACAUUAUGGCACAAAACAAGACUUCUAAAAAUGCCAUAAUGAAGGGAUUAUGGGUCAUAUCUAUGCUAGAGCCUUAUGACCAUUCUCAUGCACAUUUUGUCACUUUAUUAGUUUCUUUUAUGUCUUUCCUCUUAAUAAUUUUUUUUUUGUGCACUUCUUUUAUUCUAUGCUUUAUUUUACUAACUAUUUCAUCUCAUGUGACACACAUUUCAUAGCAUUUCACUACCUCCUCCACUUCCUUUAGCUUAGCAUUUAUUUUUGCAAGUUUUAAUCCAUUUGGUGAUGUAAUUUGUUAUCAUUGGUUUGUAGCUUGGCAAAGGGGCCGUAGAAUGUAUUUAGGCAAUUUUUGUAAUAUGGACUAUGGACACUAUGGCGCACCGGCACGCACACACUCACCCUAGAUGUAUGCCUAGGAUUGCAUGUGUAGAUGUAUGGCUAGGAUUGCAUGGUUAGAUGAAUGCUUAGGUUUAAACACUUAGAGAAAAUCCAACUUUUUUCCAAAAAAUAUGCAAACAAACUCGCUUCAAAUAUUUUUCAUAAAAAUGGAGUCAAAACUCCAACAACUUUUCACCUUUUAUUUUCUUAAUAAAAUUCUCAAAUAAAUCUAAUCAUUUAGACUUUUUUGCAAAAUCACUAAACAAACCCCCACUUUUUCAUACUCUAAUGCUCAUGAAGCCUCUCAAUCCCCUUCUUCAAAAUCAUUUUCAAAAUUUAAAAUCAAACAAUUAAAACAAAAAAACAACAAGUCUUUUUAGCAAGAACUACGCCGGUUUUGAUCCCGUAAAACGGUACGUAGGCAAGGGACUUUAACCCCUCCAAGCCGAAAUAAAAUCAAAUCCUACUUCUUCUCACCCCCAUUCUUCACUCAAAUAAAACUUCUUUUCUUUCAAUAAGUAGGCAAUAAAAAUAAAGCGUAGAAAUCAACUUAGGAGAGCGGCUCUUAUGGAGUACCAUAAUCGCUCCGGGUGCCUAACACCUUCCCGUAGCGAAAACGACCCCCGAACUUAGAAUCUAAGGGUUUUUCUCAAUUUUGCCCUUCCCAAGAAAAAAGAGAGAUAUCAACGGUCAAAAGGUUCAAGUCCAAUUAAUGGCUUGGCACCCAAAAACCAUGAUAACAGGACCUCCUUCUCUUAGUCCUCAAUCAUUUAUUUCCAUCUUUUAUUUUCUUUUUUUUAUUUUUUAUUAAUUAACUUUAAUUUCGUUUUAAAUCUUUUUUAUUUUAUCUAAUCAUUUAGUCCCCAUCUUUUUAUUUUAUUGUUUAUUUAUUUUUUUCUUUUGUCCAUAAGUCGGUCCAAGUUCACACGCAUCGAUCCAAACUCCCUGUCUCACGCGUUUCAAUCAGGCUUUUCAAUCCAAAGAACAUAAAGCUUCUCAUCAUCCAAAUCCUAUUCCAACCCAAUCCAGCUUUCACCAACUGCAGAAACUCAGGAACAGAAUCACACUCCUCUCUCCAUCCCAAUCACCUAAAUUCUGCGGAUUUUUAACAAACCCUAGCCUCAGCCCAGCACUAUAAAUAUAGAGCCUGCACAACGCAAGAAUCACACAACAGAAGGAGGGGAAACGCACAGAGAAAGCAAACGCGUACAAGAAAGCAGAAUCACACAUCAAGUAGCCGGAGUCCAACCGACCGCGCCUUACAACAUCAAAACCGUGACACAACAGCACCGGCAGCCGUUUCCAACAUCAAGGAGACCGUGAAACGCUUCAAUACAGGCCGAUUCAACACCGUUCAAAAAAAUCCGAAUUAAAAAGGUAUAAAAAAUUUCUUCCCUUUUUAGAUCUAGGUUGAACCGUGCCUGUUUUGAAAGUUUCAGACAUAAAAUUGGAACCAGAAGAAGGAAUAGAGUAGGUUUAGAGAAAAAAAAAAUAAAAAAAUAUAAGUUUAGGGUUCUGGCACGGUGGCGCCGCCGCACCGGCCGGCCAACCGCCGCCGGAACCCACCUUACCUCCGUCGGUGAAGAUGAAGUUCCACCGGAAACUUCAUAAGCAACCCAGAAUUGAAGAACAUUCAUGAGGGAGAGAUGAGAGAAAUCUAGAGAGAAGAGAGAGGUUUUGAAUGCUAGAGAGAGAAACAACAUGUUAAAAUGAAAAAACCAGCCACUGCCUAUAUAUAUCUAGGCUGAACCGUUUCAGCCAUUGAACCGAACCGGACCAAAACCGUUUCCCUUUAAGCCCAUGCGCCCGCUGCACCCAGUAGGCCCAAUUCUCUUUCUGCUUGCUAUUCUGCACACCCUUGAAUACUGCUGCACCCCACCUUGUGAUUGAACCCAUUUUAUUUUAAAUUCUGCAUGCAUUUUAGAAUUAAUUAUGUCAUUUAUUUCACAGCAAGGAUAUGAGAAUGUAUAUAUAGGUUUAAUGUAAAUUAUUUAUUUUUUCGUCAUUUACUUUUCGCAGACCAUAGCAUGUAUCUAGGUUUUAAUGUAAAUCAUGCAUGUGUGCGUGUGUGGGUGAAUGCUCUACUUUUCUGCUUAGGUUAUUACGUUUUAUUUUCUUGCUCCGUUAGUUUAGCAAUUAUUCAAAAACAACGAAAACAUGCAAAUAACAAAAAUCAC